rnacentral:tRNA from 1 species
GGAAAAGUGCCCGAGAAUCAAGGACUACUUUGAUAAAGUAGGAACAGAGGUAUAUACUCUCUUUUCCCA